ACCCACGCCUGGUGUAUGGAAUGUGUUAGUAAAAAGGAAUCAGUUACUUACUUUCCUAUGAGGAGCUUAACUGACACUCUGCUGGCCUGCCCAGACAUCCGGCUGCCCCGAUACAGUGGUGGCAGCCACACGCUGCACUCCAAAACAGAGACGACCCCGUCGCCCACUGACAGUGCUGGGAGUGGACACCCAGAAUAUAUUGCAUAUGUGCUUGUCCCCGUGUUCUUCAUCAUGGGGCUCUUUGGUGUCCUCAUCUGCCACCUGCUUAAGAAGAAAGGCUAUCGUUGUACUACAGAAGCUGAGCAAGAUGCGGAGGAGGAAAAGGUUGAAAAGAUAGAGUUGAAUGACAGUAUGAAUGAAAAUAGUGACACCGUGGGACGAAUUGUCAACUACAUCAUGAAGAAUGAAGCAAAUGCGGACGUGUUAAAGGCCAUGGUAGCAGAUAACAGCAUCGGUGAUCCUGAGAGCCCCGUGACCCCCAGCACUCCUGGGAGCCCUCCUGUGAGCCCCGGGCCCUUGUCACCAGGUGGCACGCCAGGGAAGCACAUCUGUGGCCACCAUCUGCACACAGUGGGCGGUGCUGUCGAGAGAGAUGUGUGUCAGCGGUGCAGACACAAGAGGUGGCACUUCAUAAAACAGAUCAACAAGUCCAAAGAAGGCCGCCCGAGGCGCCAAGGGGAGGUCACGGUCCUCUCUGUGGGCAGGUUUAGAGUUACGAAGGUGGAACACAAGUCCAAUCAGAAGGAGCGGAGAAGUUUGAUGUCGGUCAGUGGGACUGAGAGCGUCAAUGGGGAGGUGCCUGUGACCCCUCAGAAGAGAGAACGGAGAGGCACAGAGUAGCAGCGUGAUGAAAUCUCAUGCCGUCCUGCUCUGUUCUGCCCGGGACGUGAAUCAUCCCUCUGCCCAGCGUAUUCCGCACCCCGCCCAUUAGUCACUCGGCAGUCAUCUCCGUUACCAGAGGGACUGUCACGGUAUCGCAGAGCUUGUGUUCAGGAAUGACUCCAUUUGAAGAGUUCUAAGAGACUGAAAACUUACGCGAUACGAAGUUGUGCCCAAGGAAUGUUUUUAAUCUUUUGUACGAUUUCUAUCGUGGAAUCGGCAGGCAUAUGGAAGAAAGCCAAGAAGGGAAUAUUGUUGCUCUGCUGAAGACAGAAUUCAGUUGGCGUUGAAACAAGUUUUGAUUUAAAAAAGUCUCAUGAGAAAAUUAUCACAUUUCCAGGGAAGAAAAGAGCUCAUUUUUUUAUCUCCCCAACUGCCUUCAGCCACCACCCCAUGGUGUAUACACCACAGUUUUUUCCAGUCUGAUCACUCUGUACAGUGGAAGUAUUCGUGUACAGUCUGAGCUGAUGCUCUGUGUGUGUGUGCACUCAUUGUGUGUGUGUGCAUGUGCACACGUGUACUUCUGUUCCCCCAACUCUUACUUCUAUGUCACUACUGGUCGUAAGAAGAUUCUCUUACAGUUUAACUGCUGCAGAAGAUAAAGACGGCUCUGGUAGUGAAAGGUCCCUGAAGAUAACCUAGUUGGUCCUGAGAAAUGGAUCCCCAAGAGGCCCUGGAGUCAGACGCUGGAUACUGAGACUGAGAAUUCAGUGUUGACUCCUGCUACAUCAUGCCGCUCUUAGGUCACUUAUAAAAUAUUGGGAAGUUUUGUGUUUGUUUUUAUUUUAACGUGAGCUAAACAAGUCUUACUUAGUUUAUUCAAUAAAGGGGAAAGUGGUUUAAAGUAAAAAAAACAAAAAAAUUCUUGUUUUGACAACCCAAGUCCAAAUAAAAGGAAAAAUCUCCGCUUCUCAUGCCAGACGGGCCGCUUUCCCCUGGCCGUUUUCUUUAGUGCAUUGCUGGUUCCAUCUCGUAACUAAUGCUCGUUAUUUCAAAGAGUCGUGGUGGUUUUUCCCCUUUGGCUUGGAAACCCUGCUUUUUUCUUUGCCUUAGGGUUUAUGAAACACCUGGAAGAACUCAGAGGCCAAGAGAGUACAUUUACGGUAGGUCUGGGCCAAAGCCUGGCAGGGUCCACUUCCAGGGAGAGCUCCCAGGCCGCUGGGCGCUCGCUCUAUUUCAGAGGGAGAAAGCACAUUUCUCACUUGACUCCCAGGAGGUGAUUUCCAUUAAAAUGUAUUUAAAGUAUUUACUGUAAAUAUACUCAUUCCAUUCUGUUUCUGGCAUCAGACUAAACCUUCUAACCUUUUAAAUGAAUGGUAGGUUCAAUUUCAUGUGAAUUUUUACUGACAACUGAUUAAAAGGCGUACGUGUAUACAUAUAUCAACACAGUGGACUGGAGGAAGUCAGUGUGGAGGAAAUUUCACUGAGGUCCAGAAAGUAGCAAUAUAGGAAUUUGGGGGAUGUGAAUUAGCCUAAAUAUGUGUGAUCUAGACCAAUAGUUUUAGCUUUUUUUU